AAGCUUUUAGCUGGAUGAAGGAUAAAAAUCCUCGAUGCGCUCUCAGAUUCAAUCACUCCUGUGUUUGUUUAACGAGAUCUAAGUUUAAGAAAAAAAAGGGGGGAAAAAGGCUGAUAUGGCUUUUGGGUUUAGACGUGCCACUUUGCUGCCUGGGAUUUCAGUCAUUACCACAGACCGGGAGAGCAGCUUUAUUACCUGCACGUUUGCAAUGGUUGGUUCAGAAGGAGAAGAAGUGACAAAGCAGCAAAUUACAGCUUUUAAAUCGAGAACGGUCCGAAAAGGAGAAAAUAUCCAGUGAGCUGCAGUUCUCGGAAACGCCUCGUUGAUCACAAGAAGCGUCACAACUGGUUCCUGAAGACGACAGCGAGCUGUCUGUACUCAAACGGGCUCCAGUGUCCAGAUGUCAAUCCAAUAGACCACCUUUGGGAUGUGGUGGAACUGGAGAUUGACAUCGUGGAUGUGCAACAACUGUGUGAUGAUGUCAUUUCAAUAUGGACAAAAAUCACUGAGGAAUGUUUCUAGUACUUUGUUGGAUUUAUGCCACAAAGAAUUCAGGAAGUUCUGGUGCUCUGCUUUGAAUGUAAUUUUUAUUAGUCCAAAUGUUUCCCAGCUGCCAUGUACGCUUUACUUAUGUUUCAAAGUGGCUCAAAAAUCUUCAGCUGUCACAACUGGAUAGAAAAUGUUUUGACAGUUUUGAGAUGUGUCGGUUUCAGAUGACUGACGACUGCCACACUAGAAAAACAGUGGUGAAGAGUGGUGCAGUUUCCUUAUCAAAAAUCCUGAUGAUUAAACAUACUUGGAGGGCAUAUCUGGAGAGAAUAUAUGCAGGUCACAGGUUAAGUGUAAGAGAAAUGAUUUCUUUAAUUGCUCUAUGAUUGGAAAAAUUACAGAAAGAAGUGCAAAGAACAUAAAACAUUCACAACAGGAAGCGAAACCCCAGAAAACAAGCGGGUCACUUGUAGAUGGGUUUGAGGCUGGAUUUUAUUUAGUCCACUUUUAAAAUGUACAUUUCUCUUGAGAUUCAUUAAAAAAGAUAAAGCAUCAUCAGCUUUGCAGUCCAUUUCACAAAGAGACUGCAAUAAAGGAAAGAGUGAAGUAGAAGGAAGAUGACUUAGUAGGCACAUCUUUCAAACGAUACAUGUUAAAUCUAAUUGAUGGCAA